UAUAAUUAGCAGAAUGAAAACACCACAUGUAGGACACACAGGGAAAGAUAUCCAGAAAUUUAAACAAACAUGCAAAUGGAAAAAAACACUAUUUGCUAUACAGAUAUUCAGGAUUUACUUUCCUUUUUAAUAAAUUUUUAAAAAGUUAAUCAUUUCUCAUUUAGUAGGAAUAUAAGAUGGUGACAAAAAUGUUGUCUAGCUUUUAUUUUUAAGUUAACAGUGAAAAAGAAUCUGGAUUCAGAAUGAGAGAAUCUCUUUACCAGCAUAUUUUCUGCAUUCUGACUCCAGUAUUUAGAUUAAUCAUUGUGGCUUUUGGAUUUUUGACAAACAAAAUUAAGGAUUAUUUCUAGCAUUGCCAGGUAGAUGUUUGGUUUUCCAUCUCUGCAAAGGAUUUAACUAUUUAGAGAUGAUAAAUCAUGGUGACUUUUGAAUUUUUGAUGAACAAUAAUGUGAAAUAUUUCCAGUAUUGUCCUCCAACAGGUAGAUGAAACCAACACUGUUAGGUUUUCUAUCCAUGAGAAGAAUUUAACUCUGUUUUGAGAUGAUACAUCAUGGAGAUUUUUG